rnacentral:rRNA from 1 species
UACAGAGGGGGCAAGCGUUGUUCGGAAUUACUGGGCGUAAAGCGUGCGCAGGCGGUUUUGUAAGCCAGAUGUGAAAUCCCCGGGCUUAACCUGGGAAUGGCAUUUGGGACUGCAAGGCUGGAGUGUGGCAGAGGAGACUGGAAUUCCUGGUGUAGCAGUGAAAUGCGCAGAUAUCAGGAAGAACACCCGUGGCUAAAGGCGGCUCUCUAGUACGGUACUGACGCUGAGACGCGAAAGCGUGGGGAGCGAACAGG